rnacentral:lncRNA from 1 species
GCCACGGGCGCAGCCGCUCCCAAAAAUGAGCGCCCGAAGGUCGGGGCACCAACACUCGCCAGCGGAAAAAUGGCCAAAAAACGGGUGGGCUAUAGCCUUGGUGGGGGGCGUGGGCGAUGUUCGUCCGCCGGCCUCGGAAUGGCCCCAGACUUUGCGGGCUGCCUCCGUGUGCCAAAACUAGGCGACGGGCACAGCCGCGCCCAAAAAUGAGCGCCCGAAGGUCGGGGCGUUAACACCCCCCAGCGGAAAAAUGGCCAAAAAACGGGUGGGCUAUAGCCUUGGUGGGGGGCGUGGGCAAAGCUCGUCCGCCGGAUUCGGAAUGGCCCCAGAUUUUGCGGGCGGCCUCCGUGUGCCAAAAAUAGGCCACGGGCACAGCCGCGCCCAAAAAUGAGCGACCGAAGGGCGGGGCGCAAACAGCCCCCAGCGGAAAAAUGGCCAAGAAACGGGUGUGCUAUAGCCUUGGCGGGGGGCGUGGGCGAAGUUCGUGCGCCGGACUAGGAAUGGCCCCAGACUUUGCGGGCGGCCUCCGUGCGCCAAAAAUAGGCCACGGGCACAGCCGCGCCCAAAAAUGAGCGGCCGAAGGUCGGAGCGCCAACACCCCCCAGCGGAAAAAUGGCCAAGAAACGGGUGUGCUAUAGCCUUGGUGGGGGGCGUGGGCGAAGUUCGUCCGCCGGACUCGGAAUGGCCCAAGACUUUGCGGGCGGCCUCCGUGUGCCAAAAAUAGGCCACGGGCAACGCCGCGCCC